rnacentral:lncRNA from 1 species
AUUGAUACAUUAUUAUUUACUGAAGUUGAAACAUUACUUUAGUUUUUACCUGGUCCAGGAUCCCAUCUGGGAUCCCACAUCACAUUUAGUGAUCAUGUCUUCUUAGAUUGCCCUGGGCUGUGCCGCUUUCUCAGACUCUCCUGGUUUGUGAUGACAUUGACAGUCUUGAGUUUUGAUGACCAGUUUUGACUGGUCAGGUAUUUCAUAGAACGUACCUCUGUGAGGGUUGUCUGAUUCUUCUUCUUAUUAGAUUGGGAUUAUGGAGGAAGGCCACAGAGGUAAAGUUCCGCUUUUAUGAAAUCAAGGGUAGGCACCAUCAGCAUGACCUAUCACUGAUGUUGACUUUGAUUACCUGGCUGCUGUAGUGGUUGUCAGGUUUGUCCACUUUAAAGAUACUUUUGUGUUUUUGUUCUUUCUUAACUCCCUUUUUAUAUUAAACUCUUCAGAAGGAAGUCACUGUGCAUAGCCAUCCCCUAAGAAGAGGGCAUUCCUGCUCUUCCUUCUCCAUGGCUAGAGGAUCUACAUGAACUAUUUAGAUUUUUUCUACCUGGGAGAUUUAACUCCUCUCUCCUAUUUAUUUAUUUAUAUAUCAGCAUGGACUUGCAGGCCAACAGAGAUUUUGAGAAACACAUUGAAGGAUCUGUUAACACUUGAUAUACCCAAUAAAAGCAGUGGUUGUGCCAGUGCUGAUCUGUCUUGAUGUGAAUGUGAACAAUGGGAACCUGAGCUGAGCAGUUAAUGCUAGGGUGACAGAAACUGGACCUCUCCCAAGACAUGUGACAGAGUAAUACAGCAGCCAACUUCUUCGCCAAAUUAAAGUUUUACAAGAUUUAACCUGUCAUCAAGACCUGGGAUUUUGGUGCAAAACUUUGUGGUUUCUGCUCUGAAUGUCAGGGUAACCCUGUCUGAGGAUGAUCACGGAUUUCAUUUUCCCUUGUUUGUUAGCGUUGCGGUCAGCCGCAAGUUGAAAACAAGGAACCAGCUUGAGAAGGACAGAAUAACGGGCUCCCAGAUUCACAAGCCCCACCAAGAGGAUCACCCCAGGAACGCUUGGAGGCUGAGGAGUUCACUGAGGCUACUGCAUCUUGAGACUCAGGAUGAAGACCCAGCUUGGGGCUGUCAAAGGUUUUUUGCAUGUCUGACACCCAUGACUCCACCUGGACCUUAUGGCUCCACCCAGAAGCAAUUCAGCCCAACAGGAGGACAGCUUCAACCCAUUACGAUUUCAUCUCUGCCCCAACCACUCAGCAGCAAGCACCUGUUACCUGUCCACCCCCACCCCUUCCCCCAAACUGCCUUUGAAAAAUCCCUAACCUAUGAGCUUUGAAUAAGAUGAGUACGAACUUCAUCGCCCACGUGGCGUGGCCGGCCUCGUGUCUAUUAAAUUCUUUUUCUACUACAA